GAAUUUCACAGAGGAUCUGGCUGACUGAGUGUCCCCCGCCUCCCUCAAGGCUCCAUGUCCUUGGCUCCCAGAGCUGUGCGCUAGAGCAGAGAGAAGGACCACCCCGCAGAGGAGGAUCAUUCCUAGGUCAAGGGUGUAGGAGUACCUGUGUUCCCUUGCUAGAACCUCCAAUCAGGCUAUCAAGAAUUUCAAAUUUAAGAAUUUUUUUUUUUUUUUUGUCUUUUUGAGACAGGGGCUCUCUAUGCAGUUUAGGAUGGGUUUGAGCUCACUUU
rnacentral:snRNA from 1 species